rnacentral:rRNA from 1 species
AGUGAACGCUGGCGGCAGGCCUAACACAUGCAAGUCGAACGAGAAAGUAUCUUCGGAUAUGAGUACAGUGGCAGACGGGUGAGUAACGCGUGGGAACCUUCCUUAUAGUCUGGAAUAGCCCCGGGAAACUGGGAUUAAUACCGGAUAUUAUCUACGGAUGAAAGAUUUAUCGCUAUAAGACGGGCCCGCGUAAGAUUAGCUAGUUGGUGAGGUAAUGGCUCACCAAGGCAACGAUCUUUAGUUGGUUUGAGAGGAUGAUCAACCACACUGGAACUGAGACACGGUCCAGACUCCUACGGGAGGCAGCAGUGAGGAAUAUUGGACAAUGGACGCAAGUCUGAUCCAGCCAUGCCGCGUGAGUGAUGAAGGCCUUCGGGUUGUAGAACUCUUUAAGUUGGGAAGAUAAUGACGGUACCAACAGAAUAAGCCCCGGCUAACUUCGUGCCAGCCGCCGCGGUAAAAC